rnacentral:rRNA from 1 species
CAGUAGCCACGGUAAUACGUAGGGUGCGAGCGUUAAUCGGAAUUACUGGGCGUAAAGCGGGCGCAGACGGUUACUUAAGCAGGAUGUGAAAUCCCCGGGCUCAACCUGGGAAUUGCGUUCUGAACUGGGUGGCUAGAGUGCGUCAGAGGAGGGUAGAAUUCCACGUGUAGCAGUGAAAUGCGUAGAGAUGUGGAGGAAUACCGAUGGCGAAGGCAGCCCCCUGGGAUAGCACUGACGUUCAUGCCCGAAAGCGUGGGUAGCAAACAGGAUUAGAUACCCCUGUAGUCCCUGUCUCUUAUAA